rnacentral:rRNA from 1 species
UUGCAUUCGAAGCUGUUCUGACUUGAGUACUGGAGGGGGUGAGGCGGAUUUCCUGGUGUAGCGUGAAUGCUUAGAUAUCACCACAGAAUUAUCGAUUGCGAAGGCAGCUCACAAAGCCAAGAUUGACGCUGAGGCACGAAAGUGUGGGGAUCAAACAGGAUUAGAUACCCUGGUAGUGCACCACUGUAAACGAUGAUAACUCGCUGCCGGCGAUACACAGUCCGGUGGUCAAGCGAAAGCGAUAAGUUAUCCACCUGGGGAGUACGACCGCAAGGUUGAAACUCAAAGGAAUUGACGGGGGCCCGCACAAGCGGAGGAACAUGUGGUUUAAUUCGAUGAUACGCGAGGAACCUUACCCGGGCUCGACAUCCCCUGACGACGCAAGAGAUUGCGUUUUCCCUUCGGGGACAGGGAGACAGGUGGUGCAUGGUUGUCGUCAGCUCGUGUCGUGAGAUGUUGGGUUAAGCCCCGCAACGAGCGCAACCCCUAUUGCCAGUUGCCAGCAAGAAAGAUGGGCACUCUGGCGAGACUGCCGUUGACAAAACGGAGGAAGGUGGGGACGAUGUCAAAUCAUCAUGCCCCUUAUGUCCUGGGCUACACACGUACUACAAUGGCCACUACAGAGAGCUGCGAGCCCGUAAGGGUAAGCGAAUCUCAUAAAAGUGGUCCCAGUUCGGAUUGUGGGCUGCAACCCCGC